AGCAUCUAAGCGGGAAACCCACCUCAAAACCAGCUCUCCCUGAAGAGCCGUGGAAGACCACCACGUCGAUAGGAAGCGUGUGGAAGUGUGGCAACACAUGAAGCUUAGCUUUACUAAUAGCUCGUUCGGCUUGAUCGC
rnacentral:rRNA from 1 species